CCUACGGGAGGCAGCAGUAGGGAAACUCCACAAUGGACGAAAGUCUGAUGGAGCAACGCCGCGUGAAUGAAGAAGGCCUUCGGGUCGUAAAAUUCUGUUGUCAGAGAAGAACGUGCGUGAGAGUAACUGUUCACGUAUUGACGGUAUCUGACCAGAAAGCCACGGCUAACUACGUGCCAGCAGCCGCGGUAAU
rnacentral:rRNA from 1 species